AAUCAACGCUGGCGGCGUGCCUAACACAUGCAAGUCGAACGAGAAGGUGACUUCGGUCACUGGAUAGUGGCGUCCGGGUGAGUAACACGUAGGUAAUCUACCUUCGGGUGGGGAAUAACGUCUCGAAAGAGACGCUAAUACCGCAUAAUGCAGCGGCACCUAAUGGUGAUUAGUUGUUAAAGCGGGGGAUCUUCGGACCUCGCGCCUGAAGAGGAGCCUGCGGCAGAUUAGCUAGUUGGUGAGGUAAUGGCUCACCAAGGCUUCGAUCUGUAGCUGGUCUGAGAGGACGGCCAGCCACACUGGCACUGACACACGGGCCAGACUCCUACGGGAGGCAGCAGUGGGGAAUUUUGGGCAAUGGGCGAAAGCCUGACGCAGCCAUGCCGCGUGAAUGAUGAAGGUCUUAGGAUUGUAAAGUUCUUUCGCCCGUGACGAUGAUGACGGUAAC
rnacentral:rRNA from 1 species